UUCUUUUUCAAGGGUUAAACAAAUCAAUCCGCGCCCGUGUGUUGCCAUAAAAUUUACGGCUUCAGGGGUAAUCCAUUCUGCAGCCAUAACC
rnacentral:antisense_RNA from 1 species